rnacentral:rRNA from 1 species
UACGUAGGGUGCGAGCGUUAAUCGGAAUUACUGGGCGUAAAGCGUGCGUAGGCGGUUCCUCAAGUCCGUUGUGAAAGCCCCGGGCUCAACCUGGGAAUGGCAGUGGAAACUAGGGGACUGGAAUCUGGCAGAGGGGGGUGGAAUGCCACGUGUAGCAGUGAAAUGCGUAGAUAUGUGGCGGAACACCGAUGGCGAAGGCAGCCCCCUGGGCUGAGAUUGACGCUCAGGCACGAAAGCGUGGGGAGCAAACAGG